rnacentral:rRNA from 1 species
UGGAUGAUGUGGAUUAAUUCGAUGCAACGCGAAGAACCUUACUACCCCUGACAUGUCCGGAACUUGCCAGAGAUGGCUUGGUGCCCGAAAGGGAAUCGGAACACAGGUGCUGCAUGGCUGUCGUCAGCUCGUGUCGUGAGAUGUUGGGUUAAGUCCCGCAACGAGCGCAACCCUUAUCAUUAGUUGCUACGCAAGGGCACUCUAAUGAGACUGCCGGUGACAAACCGGAGGAAGGUGGGGAUGACGUCAAGUCCUCAUGGCCCUUAUGGGUAGGGCUUCACACGUCAUACAAUGGUCGGUACAGAGGGUUGCCAAGCCGCGAGGCGGAGCCAAUCCCACAAAGCCGAUCGUAGUCCGGAUUGUUCUCUGCAACUCGAGAGCAUGAAGUCGGAAUCGCUAGUAAUCGCAGGUCAGCAUACUGCGGUGAAUACGUUCCCGGGUCUU